CCUUAAAAAGAAAAUAGAAGAAAAGGCAGAGGAGAGACAAAUACUGGGCCAUGAAAUCUCACUUACUAGCCCAGAUAUCUCUAACCCAAAAGCAGUCCAUCUAGGCCUUGUUGGUAUAAUGGGCCUAUACCUGGGCCUGGACCUUCCCAAGUUGCGGUACUUUCGAUUUCUCCAUUUUUUCACAUCUUCAAGAACCCUCUAAUUCUCUCUGUACUCUAUUGUUACCUUUUGAUGAUUAUUAGGGCUUGAUUAUUCACUAAUCAAUUUUUCCGAGGUUAAUUGAGCUUAAUCGAUCACUGUUUCUUAUUUCUUUCGCAGGAGGAGAUCGAGUAUGGCCUUUCCAAUGUAAGGAUUUUUUAUUUUUAUUUUUUUUCAAUAUUAUAAAAUGGUUUGGAAAUUAUUGUGUAGGAAAGACCGCGGAAUCAUUUGGAUAUGAGACAUAGACUGGAUUCUAAAGGUCAACGUAAAGGAAAGGUAAUUGCCUACAGAGUCAGUGAGCUUAGGGUUGUUGAAUUAUUAGAUGGGCUUUGUGAUAAAAUGGAAGAUUACACUCUUGAGAAGACUCGAAAAGAUAUGAAUGGGUUAGAGUGGAUAGCUGGGACAAUCUUUCAGUGAUUCCCAUGAGGUGGAUGCUGACGAUGAUGAACCAGAUGGGGAACUAUGAGAAACUCCAAUAAUUUUUGGAAUCAAUCACCCGUGGGAAAGUUUUUCUCAAAAUCGACAGUCUUUUUACCAUGUUGAAUUAGUGUUCCACAUGAUACUACUUUUUCAUUUUUGAUGGGACAACUGUGGACUUUUGGUAUCACAUAUUCUCAUCAAAAACCUGAAAAUUAUGCCAUUUUUUCGCA